rnacentral:rRNA from 1 species
GAUGAACGCUGGCGGCGUGCCUAAUACAUGCAAGUCGAGCGAACAGACGAGGAGCUUGCUCCUCUGACGUUAGCGGCGGACGGGUGAGUAACACGUGGAUAACCUACCUAUAAGACUGGGAUAACUUCGGGAAACCGGAGCUAAUACCGGAUAAUAUGUUGAACCGCAUGGUUCAACAGUGAAAGACGGUCUUGCUGUCACUUAUAGAUGGAUCCGCGCCGCAUUAGCUAGUUGGUAAGGUAACGGCUUACCAAGGGAACGAUGCGUAGCCGACCUGAUAGGGGGAUAGGCAAAACUGAACUUGGGACAGGGCCAGAAUCCUACGGGAGGGAAGAGGUGGGAAAUCUUCAGAAAGGGCGGAAGGCCUAACGAGCCAACGCGCGGUGGGUGAGAAGGGUCUUGGGUUCGAAAAACUCUGUUAUUGGGAAGAAAAAAAGGUGUAAGUAACCCUGCCGGUCUGGAGGGACCCUAAUAAGAAAGCCCGGGCUAACUACUU